rnacentral:ncRNA from 1 species
UUGGUUCUAUUCAGUUUUUCUGAAUGGAUUAAAAGGGAAUCUGGUGCGAUUUUUAUCAAGUCCAGAACUGUUCCCGCAACUGUAAGCUACAAAGCUUCAUGUUAUACUUCUAGUCACUGGAAAAAUUUCUGGGAAGACCAACAUGAAGACGCAAGUCAGGAGACCUGCCAUUUUCAA